GCCGCCGUAGCUCAGUGGUAGAGCAGCGGACUUUUAAUCCGUUGUGCGUUGGUUCGAAUCCAACCGGCGGCA
rnacentral:tRNA from 4 species